UACGGAGGAUGCGAGCGUUAUCCGGAUUUAUUGGGUUUAAAGGGUGCGCAGGCGGCGUGUCAAGUCAGCGGUAAAAUGUCGGGGCUCAACCCCGGCCGGCCGUUGAAACUGGCGUGCUCGAGUUGGAGAGAAGUAUGCGGAAUUCGUGGUGUAGCGGUGAAAUGCAUAGAUAUCACGAAGAACCCCGAUUGCGAAGGCAGCAUACCGGCUCCACACUGACGCUGAGGCUCGAAAGCGUGGGUAUCGAACAGG
rnacentral:rRNA from 1 species